ACUCAAAGGAAUUGACGGGGGCCCGCACAAGCAGCGGAGCAUGUGGUUUAAUUCGAAGCAACGCGAAGAACCUUACCAAGGCUUGACAUCCAACUAAAACUAUGGAAACAUAGCGUCCCUUCGGGGAAGUUGAGACAGGUGGUGCAUGGUUGUCGUCAGCUCGUGUCGUGAGAUGUUGGGUUAAGUCCCGCAACGAGCGCAACCCUUGUUACCAGUUACCAGCGAGUAAGGUCGGGAACUCUGGUGAGACUGCCGGGGAUAACUCGGAGGAAGGUAGGGACGACGUCAAAUCAUCAUGCCCCUUAUGUCUUGGGCUACACACGUGCUACAAUGGCUGUUACAAAGGGAAGCGACAUGGUAACAUGAAGCAGAUCUCAUAAAAGCAGUCCCAGUUCGGAUUGUGGGCUGCAACCCGCCCACAUGAAGUCGGAGUUGCUAGUAAUCGCGAAUCAGAAUGUCGCGGUGAAUGCGUUCCCGGGCCUUGUACACACCGCCCGU
rnacentral:rRNA from 1 species